GGUGACCUUAUUUAGGAUAUACGCCAUUAGGAACUAAAUGGUUAAAUCCUAUGUCUCCUUUGAAAACGAUAAUGCGAUUUAGGGUAUGAACAACUUUUAACAAAAUAUUUCUUUAUCUAGUAAGAAUAACUUAAUAAUGUGUGUUACUCAAAUGGAAAGAUAUUCAUGGAUGAAACUAUAAGAGGAACACAAAUAGAUUGUGGAGGUCUAAAAUUCGAUCAAGGAGCAUCUCUAUUAUAUCCUUAGGAUAAGAGAGCUUUGAGGGGCUCAAACAGCUUCAGAAAGAGGGCGUUAUUAUUAUUUUUGAGGUAAUACAUGGAAGCAGGUAUGCCGUACCGGCCGGUAUGGGCCGAUACGAACCGGCUCGGGAGCAAAACGGUACCGGAUCAGCGUGGGAUCCGGUACCGCAGGGUUUUUUUUUUUAAAUCGACCGGUACCCGGUAUUGGUCGGUACCGGCCCUGUACUGGUGAUGUACCGGUGCGAACCGGCUGGUUCGCACUGGUACGUAGUUUUUUUUUUAACAGCACAACGCCGUGCACUGUGGUUUAAAAAAACGACAGCGUCGCGCGCGGUGGUUCAAAAAAAGAAGUGGUCGUUGGCCAUAGUAAAGUUUUGAAAAUUAAAAGAAGUGGCCGAUGAUGGCCACUUCUUUUAAAUUUGUUGUGGCCGAAGGGCCAUGCGCUGUGGCCCUUUCGGCCACAGUUGGUCAAAGCGCGUGGCCUUUCGGCCACGUGCUGGUGGUUUUGUCACCGAAACGGCGACAGACUAUUUAAAAAAAAAAAGAAGCGACAUGGUGAAAAACUAUCACUCUCGUUCGGCUAUAAAAAUCGAACGAGAGUGAUGCUAUUCAACAUAGAUGAAGUGGCUCCGAGUCUCUGAGGGGUAAUUAGAGAAGGGUAGAUUUGAGAGAGCCUACAAAUUGAGGAGCGGGUCUUUCUCAAAAAAUCAAGCGGAGACUAUUUAAGGUAUGAUUUCUUUCUCCUAUUUAAUUUCUUUAAUUUUGUUAAUAAGUAGCUUAAAAAAAAUAGUUUAGAAAUUGCCAAAAAAAAGAUCAUGCCAAAAUUUAAUAUUUUGGCUUAAUUUUUUGAUAUAUUGUAGAUUUAUGGUAGGAAUGGAGCUAUCAAGGAAAACCAACCCCACAAAGCAUGAUAUUGGCUAGUCUUAUGGGCGAAGAGUCAGGGAGCAACACCAGUUUCAGUGUAACUUUUGCAACAAAGUCUUCAAGGAAGGAGGGGUAACCAGGUUGAAGCAAUACUUAGCCGAAAAUUUCGGUGAGGUUGCUACAUGCCCGAAUUGCCUAGGCGAGAUCCUUGUGCUGUUGAGACAGAACCUCAUUGAGGUCAAAGAAGUGAAGGAGAGGAUUUUCAAGAAGAGGGCGGAGGUGGAUCGCCGAGCGGCAGAGCCAUCUUCCUAUCACUCUAGGGAGCCAGAGGAGGUUGAGGAUCUAGAUGUGGCAGAGAUCCAGGCUGCCAUGCAGGCAAGCUUGGAGGAUCAGUGGCAGCAGGAGGUGGCCAAGCAUAGGGCUCGAUUUGGGCCCUCUGCCUACGAGUCGAGCGGCGGUUCUGGGAGCACCAGGCAAGAUCCAGAGUUCUUGAGGACAACCUCAGUUAGGGAGGGCGUCGGCAGAGAACGUGGCCGGAUUACAUCUAUGUUGAAUGGUUUUGGUAGCCGAAAGAAGUCAUCUCGAGGGAUUCCACCAGGAGUGACAAUCCAUGAUGUAGAUCCGCAUGCUCUCUCCAGCAAAGAUUCAAGGCAGCAGAUGAUGGACUCAAUGUGGAUGAAGGAUAAGAAGAAAAAUAUGUGACGAGCUAUUGGAUUCUUGUUCUACUUCAGCCACAUCCCAGCGAAUGUGGCAGACAAUACAUACUACAGGUCUGCCAUUUCUGCCAUACAAGCUGCCGAUCCUGGUGUAGUUCCUCCAGGCCCGAAGGACAUCUUCGGUGAGAUUCUUGACAACAAUAAGAAGCUGGAGAAAUGGAUUGACUCCUACAAGGGCAAGUAUCGAUCUCAUGCUGAUGGACAUUGAAAAGAUCCGUAGGAUGCAGCAAACAGUGGAGGCAGCCCAACGCAUCACCAGGUAUAUUUAUAACCAUACUUGGGUCCUUUCACUGAUGAGAAAGUAUGCAGGAGAGAUUGAGAUCAGGAGUCACACGGUUUGCUACCAACUUCAUUGUACUUGAUAGCAUUCUCGAUAAGAAAGGAGCCCUACGUCAGAUGUUUGUCAGUCCCGAGUGGCAUGAUAGUAGAUAUUCUUAUGUCGGCAGUGAAGGAAACAAGAUAGAAGACUUUGUGACGAGAUAGUCAUUCUGGCAGCGGGCCACUUCAAUAGUCAAUGCUAUCAAAUCAUUAUAUGAAGUGCUGUGGGCCGUAGAUACCGAGAUCUAUCCCCAGAUGGGGUUUCUGUACCACAUGACGGAAAAGGCAAAGACUCAGAUUAUGGAGGCACAUCCAGCCCAUGGCCAGUCGUGCAUCAACAUCAUUGAACGAUGAUGGAGAGCGCAAAUGGGUACGGAAUUGCAUCUAGCAGGUAAGCAAGAUCAUUGAAAAUUAUAGUGAUGGAUGUACUUGUAUAAUUAUGCUAAGAUAGUCUCAUAUAUGUGCAGCGUACUACCUAAACCUCCGAUUUCAGUACAACGUAGAUGGAAUUGGUAUGGAUGACACACUUCUAGAGGGUUUGCAUAAUGUCAUUUACAAGAUGGAGCAUGAUCUAGAAACCGCGGUCUUAUGUGUUGAAGAGGUAACUAUGAUUUAGUAAUUAGCAGCAUGUGUAAGUAUACCGGCAUCUGCAAUGAUUAACAUCGUAGAACAUGCUUCUUUUUCACAGAACAAAAUAUUUAGAGAGGGCACCUACAGUUUUGGACAACCGGCUGUCGUCAGCUAGCAGACUAUGAAUCCAGCUGAAUGGUGGGUGCAUUUCGGCAGAUCCGCGAGAAAUCUAAAGCUGAUAGCUAUCCGGAUCCUCUCCCGAACGGUCUCCUCUAGUGGCUGUGAGCGCAACUGGUCCACCUUUGCCCUCAUCUACAGCAAACAGAGAAAUCAUUUGACACAAAAGCGCCCCAACGACCUUGUUUAUGUGCAUUACAAUCUGCGGUUGAGGCUAAAGAGCAUUCAGGAGGAAGUGGAGCUUAAGUAUGCAGAUCCGAUCUAUAGGACCUUCACUGAUGAUGACGAUGAUCCACUGCUCAACUGGCUUGUGAGCCAGCAGCAAGAGCCCGAGCUUGACGAGCCAGGAUCGUCUCUAUGACCAGCCAGCUUCAUAGCCACCGAGGCUAGGGUCGAUCUAGAGCAAUGGGCGGAGCACAAUAUUCCACACACUUUCAGAGCUGAUUAGCUGCAGGCACAAGGGAGCCAGUCACCACAUGAUUGGUACGAGACACCCUCGACACCCUCUCAGAGAGCUGAUCGAGAGAUGCUCAGCAGAGGAGGGCGACAUAGCCAAGCAGAGGGAUAGAAAAGAAAAACAAAAGGUCUUAAUGGAGAGUGUCGAGGAGACUUCGACCAGCAGCGAUGAAGGUUCUGGUGGUGAUGGAUCUUCUAGCCAUCAAGAAAGCGGAGGACCGUAUGAUACUUAUGAGACAGCCGGAGGGUUGUCUUCAUUUCACCGGUGAGUUCCAAUUUAUCCAUGUUACACAGGAUACGGACCACGGUCGACCAUCUGAUAGAGUUCGUGAGCAUAUCAUUAAAUAUAGAAGACGGGCUUCUUGAGGUGGCUCAGGAAGACAGGAUACAGCUACAGAUGAGCUCAUAUACGGAUACAGAUUCUAUUAUCUAGAGCCUUAAUCUUACGAAUAUGGAUAUGGUACAUCGGAUUUUGCUUCCGCCAUAUUUGGAUGGGCCUCUACA